AUAAAGGAACUGAUUAUACGUAUAGCUCUUUUUCUCUGUUUAAUGCUUAAAUAUGUUAGUGAUGUUCUGUUGUCAGAUAUGGACUACAAGAAAGCUUAGUCACCAUCAUCUCACUUUGAUGUGUAUAUAAAGUCAAGGUGACUGUGAUUGUAAACUUUCUUGCAUUUCCUAACUAUUUUUAAGCCAACAACCUACUGACGUUAUUGAUUUUAAUGUGUACAUGUAGUAUCCUUUGGCUAUUGCAUCGCAGUAUUUUAAUCAAAGGGAGGGACAUCUUUUUUGAGACAGAGGUUAUAAAAUCAGUAGCUAAAAUAAGAGGCCGGGUUCUUUUUUGUCAACUGCUUUCUGUUUAAACCCUUCUCUUUUUUCUGAAUUAAAAACCUCUUAUAUUUUUACACCUUUUUUCCCUUGUACUUUUGAAAAGAAGUGCUACAUUUUUUCCUUACUAUGGUAUCUGUAGCCUUGCCAGAGGAUAAGAAAUCUAUAUAUUGCUCUGAGUUGAAGGUAGACUUCUUUUUUUCUUCUUGGAUCUCAUAACAGUGCCUUUUAUUUUGUCAUCCUUAAUAGGAGCAUAUUCUUUGCCCUGUAGCAAAGAGAGAAACUGAACACUUUAGACCUGAUGUAGUGUUCUCAGAAAUCACUGUAAAGAUUUCCAUUUGGGAGUUUCAGCUGGCCUUCAAAAUACUUUUUCUUAAUUUUGAUUCUAUUAUUUCAAUUAUUUUACCUCCCUUUCCUACAGCCUGUAGGCUUCUGACCCUAUUCCAGUAGGGAACAAUAGCCAAGACUUAACUUAGUAGCUCUUGUGUUUUCAGAAAUUAAUUAUUUUCAGGAAUAUUUCUAGUGGGAAAAUACCAGUGAUGAAAUGUUGAUGGAAGAAAUUGAAUGGGACUCAGCAUGAGGUAAUAUAACAACAGUCAAACAAAAUUCAUGUCUCUGUAAUGGCAACGAUAUUGGCUAGCUUGAUGUUAAGGACUUGAAAAGCUGAAGUGGAAAUUUGGAGUUGCAUUGGUUAAAAGACGUACAAAGUAAAAAGGAUUAGAGCAAGACAAGUGUUUUGAAAUUAAGUGAACAAAUAGAUAGGAUUUGCCCAGAUAUGAUAUGUUGGUUUCUGGUUUCAUAUGUUAAUUGGUGUUGCUCUUUUAAGGGGGGUUGUAUUUCACUCUCCUUUUGUUUGGCCUUUACACUGGUUUUCCCCUUCCCUGCAUGAAAGUCUGAGAUUUCUAAGGUGGUUUUUAGUUUUAACUGGCUUACAUCAGAAUUCAAAGGCAUUUUAUCAGUAAGGUGAUUUAUUUGUUUUGAGAAUCUUGGUUUUCAGCAAUAGCAGCUGAAGGCAGUGUUUUACUGGAGUUAGCACAUUUUACACCAUUCCAAUUUUCCUAUCUCUAUUUUGUAUGUAUUUAUAAAAGGGAAAUUAGUGCCAAAUUAUAGCUAUGCAAAUAAACAAUAUUUGGUAUAACACAUGACACUUAAAAAAAGAAUUUUAAUAGUUUCAUUCUGUUUUCAAAAUAACUUUGAAGGCUGUUUUGUUUUCUUGAAAAUAAGUGGUAAUCAAACAUAGUAAUUAGAGUUGAACCCUUGUGACUCUUGGGGAAAAAAACUUCUAAAUAUCUUGCCUGCAGAACCUGAUUCCUCUGUUUGCAGAACAAAGAAUAUUAAGUAACACACUCGCUGUCCAAGAAAUUAGACAAUUCUUGUUACACUCCAUAACGUGCUUCAAGACAUUUUUCAUCUAGUACAGUACAAAAGGAAGGGGUCUCUUCAAGAAAACUGAUUCUAAGUUGGCAAGAUGUUGAUCCAUACUGAUCCCAUUUGGGGAAACGUCUGUCCUGUGUGAGGAUGCCAGUACAGUUGUAGCCACUGACACUAUACAUGACCAGAGGCUCCAGUUUCUGGCAUCUCUUUCUAUUGUCAGGAAAGUAGUUUCACACCUCGGCCAAAACUCAAAACCAAUCAUCUGCUUUUUAUACGGCAACAGCGCCUAGCAAGGUGUGGACACAUCUGUCUUGAUAGGAUGUCAUGAGAGCAUCUCCUUGCAAUUUGUUUCUCUUCCCUCAGACAAGGUGCCAGUGCAGUGACUUGUUCCUUGGUAGUCAGUUCAAUUUCUUCAGAUUAUCUGUAAAUUUUCAAUAAUGGCAAUACAUUCAUUCUGCCAUUUGGAGGAGCCUGUGCCACAGAGUAAUGAUCUGAAGAAAGCUCACUUAUUUGCAAGGAAGAGUCUUCAUUUGGGAAUUAGCACCGAUGCAGCUAAGAGGUGCUUCCUCAAGUUCAGCAGAACUGUUAUUGUUUCACUUCUGGUGCAUGGACAAAACUGGAUUUUCUUCAUAGAUCAGGAUUCCUGUACCUGAAGAGUAAGAAGAAACCAUUUUGGUAGGUGUGGGUUGCUUGUCAGAAAUCCGUUCCAAAGCUAGAGUGCGAAGCAAGAAGGGUGCUGAUGAUGAAUAUGAAUGGAUAUCUUAAGGAUAACAAUGGUCACAGCAUCUUCAAAAGCAGUGGCAUUCUGGAAUUUUCCAUGUUUAUUAUUGUCCACAUUUGAACCCUAUCCAGUUUUUUUAGUACCCUUUUGGAGAAGGGGUGACCUGUACCUCAUAUGGGAUUUUCUUUUUCUGCAAUAAGCAUGUUUUUGGAGACCCUGAGAAUUUCUUAGCAUCUAAGAUAUUUAGACCCUAAUCCUGCCACUGGAUUUGUUCAAAUGGACCAUGAUGGCUGUGGGGCCUGACUGAGUUGAUGGGACUCCUGGAUGACUGCAAGUUCCUACUCUGAAGAUCUGAUUGUAGGCCUGAACCUAAAUUUCUAUCUCCUUCCCCUGUCUACCUGCUUCUGAUUGAUGAAAAUUAUCCAAAAAACUGUAUUUUCUUUGAGUCUUAUGCACAUCACUUUAGUAGCAUUCAGAAGCUGUGUGCUUGGGAUUUUGUCAGACAUUGUUAAAAUAUUUGUGUUCUGUCAUGUGCCAAUGUCUCAUGAUUGCUCUGAUUAUUGUGUUAUAUUUUUACAUUUACUAUCUUCCUAUCUAAAAUGGAGAUCAUCACCUGUGUUUUCGGUCAUUGUGGUAUUUCUCUUAACUCAGAUUUUUAAGUCAGAGUAACUGUUGAAACUAUUCAGAACUUUUUUCAAGAUGUGGGUAGAUUUGUUUUUUCCUCGGCGGACACGGAGUAUAUCUAUUUUAUUUUGCAAACUUAGUAGCCUACUAGUACUGAAAGCUUUCAAUAUGAUGAUACUCUAAUGCAGAUCAAUAAAAUAAGUAGGAAAAGGCAUUAACUUUUACUAGAUCUCCUGUUGCUUUUCUAUUUCUGUGGCUGUGAUUACAUGACAUACAGCUGAGAGUGAGGAUAUUUUUAUUUUUUUUGUGAGCCGGUGAAUAUCUUUUGAUUACACUGACUGCUGUUCCCUAUGUAUUCCGUAUGACCAUGUUGCAGUUUCACCAAGUACUAAAGUUAUAGCCCUGAUAGAAGCUGGAAAGGACUUUGCAAAAUCACAUUAAAAGAGUUCAAGAGGGAAAA